UACGUAGGGGGCAAGCGUUGUCCGGAAUCAUUGGGCGUAAAGCGCGUGUAGGCGGCCUUGUAAGUCCGUUCUGAAAGCCCGGGGCUCAACCCCGGGAGGCGGAUGGAUACUGCAAGGCUCGAGUACGGAAGAGGCGAGUGGAAUUCCCGGUGUAGCGGUGAAAUGCGCAGAUAUCGGGAGGAACACCAAUGGCGAAGGCAGCUCGCUGGGACGUUACUGACGCUGAGACGCGAAAGCGUGGGGAGCAAAC
rnacentral:rRNA from 1 species